rnacentral:tRNA from 1 species
GUCUCCAUAGUUUAAUGGACAAAACAAAAAUCUCCUAAGUUUUUGAUGUAGGUUCGAUUCCUACUGGAGACA